rnacentral:tRNA from 1 species
GCCGUGGCUCAGUGGCAGAACAUUUGCGUGGCAUGCAGGAGAUCCCUGGUUCAAUCCCUGGCAUCUCCA